rnacentral:rRNA from 1 species
UACGUAGGGGGCAAGCGUUGUCCGGAUUUAUUGGGCGUAAAGAGCGUGUAGGCGGCCCUGUAGGUCCGUUGUGAAAACUCGAGGCUCAACCUCGAGACGCCGAUGGAAACCAUGUGGCUAGAGUCCGGAAGAGGAGAGUGGAAUUCCUGGUGUAGCGGUGAAAUGCGCAGAGAUCAGGAAGAACACCCGUGGCUAAGGCGGCUCGCGGGGACGGUACGGACGCUGAGGCGCGAAAGCGUGGGGAGCAAACAGG